rnacentral:lncRNA from 1 species
UUUAUUUAAAAUCCAGCCAACUCUUGCUCUUGAAGCGUCACCAUAGCUAACCGAGGACCCGCAAGUCACCAGUUUUACAGUUUUCAGGCUGUCAUGUUCAUACAUUAAAUAACCCAGAGCAUACAUGCUUCUCUCCAGUUGGUCGGAAUCUGAAGAAGGCGGUGUCGAAAUGCAAAGAUCCUGCAGGUGGUUCGGCCUGCAAAGGCUCAUCUCAUCGUCGACAGACCAAUCCAGCAAAUUUGUGUCAGGAGGAAGACUGAGGNNNNNNNNNNNNNNNNNNNNNNNNNNNNNNNNNNNNNNNNNNNNNNNNNNNNNNNNNNNNNNNNNNNNNNNNNNNNNNNNNNNNNNNNNNNNNNNNNNNNAGUACGUAUACUACGUAGUAUAUAUAUAUAUAUAUAUAUAUAUAUAUAUAUAUAUAUAUAUACAUAUAAUAUAUUAUAAAACAAUUCACAGUUAUGCAAAUAUAGUAUCCCAGCGUCAGACAGAACACGAGUAUUGCAAGUGCAGUAAAAGCAGGAAAAACACGUUCAACCUUGCCUUAUUUCCUUAUUUCCGGUUGAUCGUUGUACAAACGACUUUAAGAAAAAUAAACAACUGGAAAGUAAAAUCAUGAUUUUACACUCUUAGAGCAGAUUAAUCUAAAUACCAAACUAGGAGUAAAUACAUUUUCAGAACAACUGACUGAAUAUCGAAGGGUCCAAAUUGUUUUUUAUUCAGAGUUUGAAAAAUCUUGAACAAAAAAUAGAGGGAAAGCUAGAGACUGCAUUGGAAGUAACUGAGAGUUCUGUUUUACUGUAAAGAUAAAGUUGGGUGAUGGAGAUGAAGAUCGUUAGAACACCAUAUGAAAACAUUAUUGGAACACAAAUUGCAACUGGAAAUAACAGCUAGUGACUAAAACUCGGAUGUUUCUGCAGGCACUUUCUCUGGAGCUCAUUCAUGUCUUCUCUUUUUGUAUGAUCAGCAGAGCGCUCCCAGGAAAUUCAGACUGAGAAUGAGGCACAGCCAGCACUGCAUGGAAAUAUGAAGAGAAACGCUGUGUCAUUGAAAUCAUGGAGCAAACUUGAUAAAGAAAAAUAAUAUACAAAGCGAGUACGUACAAGGUAAGUAACUUACUCAUAUCUUGCAUGCAUGCAUCCAACCUUUUAUUCAGUCGACCGACUCAGCAGCCCAUCACGGCGCACACAAUCCAACUUACUCAUAUAUUGUAUGCAUGCAUUCUUUAUUCAGUUGACCGACUCAGCAACCCAUCACUGCGCACACAAUCCGCUCGCCCCGGUAUGGCCGUGUGGCAAACAAAUCCCAGACAGGCGGUUCCCCAUCCGGGGUCCAUGAAUGAAGCUCAACCACCUUUUCAUCUGUUGAAUCGUUUGGACGCCCGAUAACAAUCAGCCGGUCACCACACGCUCGGAAACCCAUGUCCCAGCCAUCUUUGUCCUUAGACUGCACGGGCAAUUUUCCAAGAGUGGUCCACUUGUUGUCCAGCUUAUCAUACAGCUUCAAAUCAUUAUUCUCACUGUAAUCAGCAGCAUAAAGCUCGUUGUUCACAACCGCAAGGAGCGGAGGAGCUCCCGCGAAUGUCUCGUUGAGCCCCUGAGACAUGUUGUCGAUGACCCUCCAUGACCGCAGGUUCAAGUCAUACUCCUCACCGCAAGUCAACACCUGGUGGCUACUGGAAUAACCACCGAUGACAUAGAACUUGCCGUCCAUGAAGGCGCCAGAGCAUCCGUACCUGGCCCUAUUCAUGCUGGGAAGGGGUGUCCAAGUAUGUGUCUCCGAGUCAUACAUCUCUGCCGUGCUCAAUACAUUAGUACCAGAAGGAUCAAGGCCUCCCGCGACGUACGCCUUCUCACCUACACUGGCUGACCCAAACCAGGCCCGCGGGGUGUUGAUCGCAUCAGCAUCAGCAUCAGGCAGCCCUGUCCAUGAAUUGGUAAGGAUGCUAUAUCUCAAGGAAACCCCUGCGGACCCAAACACCAGCAGCUCGGUUCCUACAGCCAGUGACUCCCAGAAUCUGCUUUGAGCCGGUGGCAUCUUGGGCACUUUGAUCCAGCGCCCGGUGGACGGGUCAUAAGCAUCCCACUCCGGAGGAUUAUUAUUACCGCAGGAGAGGUAGAUCCAGUGCUCUGCCACCCCAUUCUUGCGACGAAGGCGGUAGAUGUCCCCGUCGCGAACCACCGAAUUGAAUUCACGGUUGAGGGAGGCGAUGGAGGCGCCGUAGUCCCGCCUGGACACAAGGUGGAGGCAACGGAUGAAGAGCUCCCGACCUAUCACAUCAAUGGUAUUGCUCCACGACACCACGGUCUGCUGCGCUCCACCUGACAAAAGCCAACAGCUCAUCCAUCGUCUUACUAAUUUCUACGAGUAAUUAAUAGCUAUUGGAACUCCUGUUGACUGAAUAGCAUACCUGGAGGAUUCAGGCGUGAACAGGACUCUGGUGACCUCGAUGAUACCCUGCAGGUUACAACUACCAUUUAGAGCAUGAGCAUGAAUAGUCAAAUCAGGUUUAAUCGAAUAACUCAACAUCAACAAAAGUAGUUUACAACAGCAACAAAAGUAGUACCUUUUAUCGCCAUGGGAACCGGAAUCCACUAAUUUCACCUCGAUUAUAGGAUUGCUCAGAUGAUUGCUAACAACACCGAUCCUCGCGACAUACUGCAGAUCAACAGCCGCACCCCCAAAUUUAGCGGAGACCUCUCUAAGGCCCGUCAUAUGCUCGAUGCUGAUUAGUGCAUUACCAUGUCGAUAUUGUCUCCACUGGUCACGCUUAGAAUAAAGUUCAAGUCGUUGGUCCAUUUGAGGGAUGGCGUCGAAAACAAGCCUGAGCUUCCAGAGAUUAGGCAUUGCGUCCGCCUCAAAUCUUAGCCAAGCUAUUCCACUCAUGAACCUCAGCUUCAAGUACUUGAGAGCUGUGAAUCCAGCAGCCGUGCCAAAGAUUAUCUUAACAUUAGGUGACUUGUCCACAUACAAUGACAGGGCAGUGAGGGCAGGAAACCCACUAAGAAUAUCAACGUCAUUUACUGACAGUCCAUCCACUGCAAUCUUCAGAAUGCAUAGGUUGCCAAGUUGGAUCUUCCACCUAUGCAUUUCGCAAAAUACGACGGGGCUGUGUGGUGAGACCUCGAAUCUCUGGAGAUGGUGGAUAGGUCUAUCCAAGACCCACAAAACUCUUGCUUCUGAAGCGUCACCAUAGCUAACCGAGGAUCCAUGAGCCACCAGUUUUACAGUUUUCAGGCUGUCAUGUUCAUACAUUAAAUAAUCCAGAACAUACAUGUUUCUCUUCAAAUGGUCGGAAUCUGAAGAAGGCGAUGUAGAAAUGCAAAGAUCCUGCAGGUGGCUCGGCUUGCAAAGGCACAUAUCAUCACCGACAGACCAAUCCAGCAAAUUUGUGUCAGGAGGAAGACUGAGGUGCAACAAGCGUGGGAGAUAUAUAAUGUCCCAUGGAACAUAAGUCCCCCUUGGUGUAUCCAUAACAUCAAGUGUUUCCAAACACUGCAGCCCU